CAGCACCUCAAGUGGUCAGGACGAUUAUUGGGCCUAAAGCAUCCGUAGCCGGCUCUGUAAGUUUUCGGUUAAAUCUGUAUGCUCAACAUACAGGCUGCCGGGAAUACUGCAGAGCUAGGGAGUGGGAGAGGUAGACGGUACUCGGUAGGAAGGGGUAAAAUCCUUUGAUCUAUUGAUGACCACCUGUGGCGAAGGCGGUCUACCAGAACACGUCCGACGGUGAGGGAUGAAAGCUGGGGGAGCAAACCGGAUUAGAUACCCGAGUAGUCC
rnacentral:rRNA from 1 species